rnacentral:tRNA from 1 species
AAGGUUUUAAGUUAAUUAAACUAAAAGCCUUCAAAGCUUAAAUUAUAGGGUGACCCUUUAAACUUUA